AGUACUGCCCUUAGAGCUCAUCGUUUGGAGCACACAAGAAGCAUUAAUUCAAGCAAGAUAAAUUUCUUUUUCUCCUUUAGUUUUCUUCAUGGCUCUACUGGGUAGUUUCAUUCCAAAGGCCUUGCUUCCAUCGGCCACUUCCACCAGACUCAGCUAUUAUCUACGUAAAGCUAUGAUCAUAACAUAUCGUGUUGACACAGAAGAUAAAACUACCUCAGGUAGUGGUUCACAUACCAACAGUUCUACCUCAGGAAGUACUUCAAAAACCAACCCGUCUUCCUCAGGGAAUAAUUAAUAUUUUCUGGCAGUAGAUUGAAUGCUGUUGAAGAUAAUAAUAAUGAAGAAGCAUAUCACUCCAAGUAUCCAGACAAAAUUCCUCAAGUCCCUAGAAAAAUAUGUGAUGCUCUCUUAGUGUGUGUACGUGAGUGUGCAUGAGUGAACUGUAAGCAGUGUCUUUUAGUGUGUGUACGUGAGAAUGAGAGAAGAAUAAAAAAUAAUUUUCAGUUUUCAAAGUGUGAGCUUAGACUGUAAAAUGUCCUUAUCAAUAAGAGAUUUCUUCACUCAAUUCCUUUUUUCA